rnacentral:rRNA from 1 species
UGGGGAAUAUUGCACAAUGGGCGCAAGCCUGAUGCAGCGACGCCGCGUGGGGGAUGACGGCCUUCGGGUUGUAAACUCCUUUCGCUAGGGACGAAGCUUUUUGUGACGGUACCUAGAUACGAAGCACCGGCUAACUACGUGCCAGCAGCCGCGGUAAUACGUAGGGUGCGAGCGUUUUCCGGAAUUACUGGGCGUAAAGGGCUCGUAGGUGGUUUGUCGCGUCGUCUGUGAAAUUCCGGGGCUUAACUCCGGGCGUGCAGGCGAUACGGGCAUAACUUGAGUACUGUAAGGGUGACUGGGAUUCCUGGUGUAGCGGUGAAAUGCGCAGAUAUCAGGAGGAACACCGAUGGCGAAGGCAGGUUACUGGGCAGUUACUGACGCUGAGGAGCGAAAGCAUGGGUAGCGAACAGG